GGCGAACGGGUGAGUAACACGUGGGCAAUCUGCCCUUCACUCUGGGACAAGCCCUGGAAACGGGGUCUAAUACCGGAUAUGACACGGGGUCGCAUGAUCUCCGUGUGGAAAGCUCCGGCGGUGAAGGAUGAGCCCGCGGCCUAUCAGCUUGUUGGUGGGGUGAUGGCCUACCAAGGCGACGACGGGUAGCCGGCCUGAGAGGGCGACCGGCCACACUGGGACUGAGACACGGCCCAGACUCCUACGGGAGGCAGCAGUGGGGAAUAUUGCACAAUGGGCGAAAGCCUGAUGCAGCGACGCCGCGUGAGGGAUGACGGCCUUCGGGUUGUAAACCUCUUUCAGCAGGGAAGAAGCGAGAGUGACGGUACCUGCAGAAGAAGCGCCGGCUAACUACGUGCCAGCAGCCGCGGUAAUACGUAGGGCGCAAGCGUUGUCCGGAAUUAUUGGGCGUAAAGAGCUCGUAGGCGGCUUGUCGCGUCGGAUGUGAAAGCCCGGGGCUUAACCCCGGGUCUGCAUUCGAUACGGGCAGGCUAGAGUUCGGUAGGGGAGAUCGGAAUUCCUGGUGUAGCGGUGAAAUGCGCAGAUAUCAGGAGGAACCCC
rnacentral:rRNA from 1 species